GUAGGUGGCAAGCGUUGUCCGGAAUUAUUGGGCGUAAAGCGCGCGCAGGUGGGUUCUUUAAGUCUGAUGUGAAAGCCCCCGGGCUCAACCGGGGAGGGUCAUUGGAAACUGGGGAACUUGAGUGCAGGAGAGGAAAGUGGAAUUCCACGUGUAGCGGUGAAAUGCGUAGAUAUGUGGAGGAACACCAGUGGCGAAGGCGACUUUCUGGCCUGUAACUGACACUGAGGCGCGAAAACGUGGGGAGCAAACAGGAUUAGAUACCCUGGUAGUCCACGCCGUAAACGAUGAGUGCUAAGUGUUGGGGGGUUUCCGCCCCUCAGUGCUGCAGCUAACGCAUUAAGCACUCCGCCUGGGGAGUACGGCCGCAAAGACUG
rnacentral:rRNA from 1 species